rnacentral:tRNA from 1 species
UCCUGGGUGGCUAAGAUGGUAAAGAAUCUGCCUGCAAUGCAGGAGACACAGGUUCAAUCCCUGGGUUGGGAA